UCAUAUAAAUAGAUCAUAAUACUCGAGUCACAAUAACUACAAAAUUUGUUAUUGUAUCUUGGUCUCAUAAGGACCAUAGUACCUACAAAAUUUAUUAACUAACAUAAGAAAACUGAAAGAAUAAUAAUGAACUAGAAGGAAUAAAGUGUGACAUGUUAGAUCCACUUCAUCAUCAUUUUCUUCAAAAAAAUCAAGGUUGGGCAUGUAAACUUCAUGCUGCAAUAGAAACACCAAAAUUCAAUUUCAAUAAGACGAGGAAUAAGAAAAGAUGAAACUGGUGAACUUAAAUUAAAAAAAGAAAAGAAAAUAAAAACCUCUUUUGGCAACAGACAAUGAUCCUAAACUAGUACAGAGAACUCACCAUGAAAUUAGAGUUAGCAGCACAACUACUU
rnacentral:lncRNA from 1 species